CACCCUCACCACCCACAACCACCAGCUGUCGCUGCCCACAAGUUAAUAAGAGUAUUUCCAGCCUAAAACCUUUUGAGAAACUCGAUGUGGUUCUCCCCAGUUCUCUAUGUCCACGCCCUGAGAUCAUAGGCAUAGUGAAGGAUACUAAGGAACAAGUAUGUCUGAAUCCAGAUACCCCAACCAUGAAGGUUGUACUGAAAGCAAUUAGAAGAACAAGGUCUUAAACAGCUCCUGUCGACAACUGAAGACAUACUCUCCAGGUGGCUGGCAAGGUUUAACCAGGAUGAAGCCCUCCCAUACAUACAGAGGAAAGUCAAGCCCCAAUUGUUUCUAGCACUUAAUUCUUCUAAAAAAAAAAUAAUCACCAAUCACAAAGAAUUGACUGGCU
rnacentral:lncRNA from 1 species